GAGUUUGAUCCUGGCUCAGGAUGAACGCUAGCGGCAGGCUUAACACAUGCAAGUCGAGGGGUAGGUUACUUCGGUAAUUGAGACCGGCGCACGGGUGCGUAACGCGUAUACAAUCUACCUUUUACAGAGGGAUAGCCCAGAGAAAUUUGGAUUAAUACCUCAUAGUAUUUUUGAAUGGCAUCAUUUGAUUAUUAAAGUUCCAACGGUAAAAGAUGAGUAUGCGUCCCAUUAGCUAGAUGGUAAGGUAACGGCUUACCAUGGCAACGAUGGGUAGGGGUCCUGAGAGGGAGAUCCCCCACACUGGUACUGAGACACGGACCAGACUCCUACGGGAGGCAGCAGUGAGGAAUAUUGGACAAUGGGCGCAAGCCUGAUCCAGCCAUGCCGCGUGCAGGAAGAAGGUCCUAUGGAUUGUAAACUGCUUUUAUACAGGAAGAAACAACAUUACGUGUAAUGUCUUGACGGUACUGUAUGAAUAAGGACCGGCUAACUCCGUGCCAGCAGCCGCGGUAAUACGGAGGGUCCAAGCGUUAUCCGGAAUCAUUGGGUUUAAAGGGUCCGUAGGCGGCCAAAUAA
rnacentral:rRNA from 1 species